AUUGAACGCUGGCGGCAUGCUUUACACAUGCAAGUCGAACGGCAGCGCGGGCUUCGGCCUGGCGGCGAGUGGCGAACGGGUGAGUAAUACAUCGGAACGUGCCCAGUAGUGGGGGAUAGCUCGGCGAAAGCCGGAUUAAUACCGCAUACGACCUGAGGGUGAAAGCGGGGGAUCUUCGGACCUCGCGCUAUUGGAGCGGCCGAUGGCAGAUUAGCUAGUUGGUGGGGUAAAGGCCUACCAAGGCGACGAUCUGUAGCUGGUCUGAGAGGACGACCAGCCACACUGGGACUGAGACACGGCCCAGACUCCUACGGGAGGCAGCAGUGGGGAAUUUUGGACAAUGGGCGAAAGCCUGAUCCAGCAAUGCCGCGUGUGUGAUGAAGGCCUUCGGGUUGUAAAGCACUUUUGGCGGGAACGAAAAGGACUGUGCCAAUACCACGGUUCGAUGAC
rnacentral:rRNA from 1 species